CCUACGGGUGGCUGCAGUGGGGAAUAUUGCGCAAUGGGCGAAAGCCUGACGCAGCGACGCCGCGUGAGGGAUGAAGGUCUUCGGAUCGUAAACCUCUGUCAGCAGGGAAGAACGGUCACUGUGCUAAUCAGCAGUGAAUUGACGGUACCUGCAAAGGAAGCACCGGCUAACUCCGUGCCAGCAGCCGCGGUAAUACGGAGGGUGCGAGCGUUAACCGGAAUUACUGGACGUAAAGCGCUCGUAGGCGGUAUGUCAAGUCAAGGGUGAAAUCCCCGCGCUCAACGUGGGAACUGCCAUUGAAACUGGCAGACUGGAGUGUAGGAGAGGAUAGUGGAAUUCCAGGUGUAGGAGUGAAAUCCGUAGAUAUCUGGAGGAACAUCAGUGGCGAAGGCGACUAUCUGGCACAUAACUGACACUGAGGAGCGAAAGCGUGGGUAGCAAACAGGAUUAGAUACCCUUGUAGUC
rnacentral:rRNA from 1 species